CCUCACACGGGCUUUGCCUUUGGCUGAACGCUGGGAUUCUUUCACAGAGGCCGUUGGUUGCCAAGAGCGAGCGAGGCUCAGAAAAGCUGGCUGCUCCUUAUUGCAGGGGUUGCCACAAUCAAACUCGCAUGAAGGAUUUGGCAAGUGUUUUACGCUGGAUGUCCUUCCUGACACAACCUGGACUAAAAUCUGCAGCCUUAGGAUCACAAGACUGCAGCACCAACCAACACAGACCACCAAGCACCUGUUUUUGCGUGUCUUGCAAUUGCAAUAAAUCCUGAUUGAUCAUUUCAA